UGUAAGUGGUUAGUAUUUGUUUUGGAUCAUUCAAUAGACCAAUAACCAACGUCUUUGAAAUUCUUAUUUUUAAAAUCAAAUAGCUCGGGAUGCUGUGAAACUUCAGCUAUCAGUAGCUCCUCCAUGUUGAUGGAUAUUCACGUUCAUGAAAAAAUGACGUAUCUCACACCAUGGACCUGAUUGUAAUUGAAAUAAAAGGAAUGAAUUCUAGCCCAGAUCUUCCAUCCGGUCCAAAUUGCUUGCCUUAGGAGCAGAUUCAACAGUCUCUGGAGUGGAUCUUUGGAGAAAAAUAAAAGAAGUAACCACUGUAUGUGUGAACGGGACAUCAAGGUUUAGCUGUGUGCUCUGACAUGGAUUCUGAAAAUCAAGCCAUGUGGAAAGCAACGGGGCUUGUGAGCGGUCAAGCCAUGAUGAGAUCAUAAGUUGCACAUCCUUUUUAUUCAGAGGCUUACCUGUUUUUUUUGUCUAGAUACACCACACCUUAUUAACGCCAUGAAAACAGCAUUAUGUAACCACGUUUUCAUACUUCCAAAACAAGCUGUUGAUGAAAAUCAUCUUCCAUGUGACACUUUAAGUCUAAACUAUAAACGUAUUGGAUAAAACUUGGAAAUCACUUGUUUUUUCAGGUCUGUAUUGCUGCAGUUGAAACUAUUAUUGCGCUGCAGUCUAAUUCCACUGAGAAACUUGUGACUGGACUAACUGGUAAUGCAAUCUUGACCACACAAAGUUAUGAAAAGAUGAAGGUAUGUCCAUCGUUAAAUUGUGUUGUGCACCACCAUAUGAAAGGAGAAAAACUAAAUGGGGCCAGAAAAAAUAUUUUUAUCACUUAAGAGCAGUAAAUUUAAAAUGACAAUCUCGUUAAUGUUGACAUAUUUUUGUCUGCAUUGUAGGUUACUCCUGCAUGCAGAGUUUUUUCACACUCUGCAGCAGCUGCUAUUAGACUGCUAAUUCAAUGUGGACAAUUUGGACCAGAGCACAAGACUACUGCGUGGUUCAUAGAUUUGGUUUGACUUGAUGACAUCCCAGAAUCAUCUGCAUGGUGGAUAACUUACAAACUGACAAGUAUUAUGGAACAAAUGUACUACUUUAACA